rnacentral:lncRNA from 1 species
UCGGGUGCUGAGGCACUAGCUUCCUUCCGCAACAACAUACGACGAAUGGAAACCCCGGACGCUUGGACAAGAAAUGACGAGGACAGUGGCCACCCUUACUUCUCUCAUGACCUGCCAUUGCACGAGUGAGGAUACUUGGCUGGCUCUUUGGAGUAACCCUCCCUCAAACCCCGUCACUUCAAUAGUUCGGCACAAUAAUGGAAAACCACGAUGUAGCAAG